AAAUCCAAAUUUUUCCGGAACUAAAUAAGGCCCAGGUAGAAGAAUAACGUCUCCUAGAGUCCUACUGCGAGUCUGCCACCAUAGUUGGUUAUUAACGGAAUAUAUAUUGUGUACCAUGCUAAUAUAAUCCUUCCUUCUAGCAGCAGGCAGCAGCAGAUCUCUCCCUGAUUUGUUUCCUUCAUGGAACAAAACCACCUUUUAAUUUGGUGUGAUACGACUAGAGUACCCGACGCCGACGUUAAUUAGCGUUAGUGCGAUCAUGUAGGGACGCCAUGGAUCCAUCCAUCGACCCACGGUGUCGCUUUCACGGUCUCCAGAAUGGCCCGCGCCGCGUCGAUCCAUCACGCAUUAUGCUUGGUUCUAUUCAACUCUCGCACAUCAACUGACAUCUCUCCACUCUCCUAGCUACCAUCCUCUCUGUCCACUCCAAUCCUCUUCCUCUCCUAGCGAGCGAUCGAAUCGUGGUGUCCAUUCAUGACAAGUAAGCAACCUGCUUUCCCUUCUACCAGUCAUGCAUGUUCCGGCUCUUAUUCCAUCCGUCCAACCCUGCUUUGCUCCAAGACUUUCAGCAUGUUCUUGUGGAUGGAUCGGAUCUACACUCUGGAGGAUGCUUCGAUGGCCAGGACCAGAAAGAGAACAGGUAAAAUGCACAUGACACCUGGAAAACACUUUCAACUUUAGCUUGUUCUCAAGUCAAGCUUUUCCAUGUUGCCGACCUCACAAUAACAAAGCUGUUACAUACGAUCAGUACCUUUAAACAUGCCUGAUGUAUCUCGUGAGUUACUCUGACUUGCUGUAAAUCGUCGAGAAGAGGAGUCGGCAGCAGCUAAACCUAACCAAGAAAGUCCAGUUGAUUGUUUCAGAACAGGCACAGAUAAAGUUGCAAAAAGAGGACCACGCACCAAAAUGGGGGGAAGAAAGGCAAUUCAACGGGCGGGGCGCCCAGUGGACAUGUCGGCACCCACCGGCCACCACCAGGCACCAGUUACAUGCCGUUUCCCAUACUAACGCCCAUGAAUGAUGAUGAAUGGACCGGAUCAGGACCCUCUAAUAGGCUGCUAUCAAACACCAUCACUGUGCCAAAACGAAUCAUCAUACCAAACAAACAUCCAAGCUCGUCUCUUGCAGGCUGCAGCAAGCUACACGUCUCCUUUUGGUCGAUGAUAUCGACUGAUGGCGAAGCAAGCCAUGGCCGGUGAAUUCAUUCCAGCGUCGGUGGCCGGUGGGUGCAGCAUGACGAAGGAGCGUGGGUCGGUACCCCAUUCUCAGGGUCAGGGACGUCCUUAUCUGCCCACAUGGAGGGGAGUGCCGUUUAAGCUCCAGUGCCCAAAGACUUGCAUAGACUAGUGUAAGCAUUCACCAAUUCUCUGUUCUGGCAGCUCAUGACAGAUUGACAGGUGGGUUACUGCCUUCUAAAGCUUGUGGUUUCUAAAGCUUAAAGAAUACAAAUCCUGUUACUUGGGUUUUUUUUUUGAAGGGCUGGAUAGGUAGUAGAGUAGCAUGUGGAGUUAUCCAGAGCAAAACUUCGCGUGUGCAGCCUUCCAUUGCUUACUACUCUUUUCAUCCUAAAUUACAAGUCCUUCUAAGAAUCUGGUGAGUCAAAGCAUCCUAAGUUUGACCGAAUUUAUAUGAUAACAUAAUAAUAUUUAUGAUACCAACUAAGUAUCAUUAGGUUCAUCAUUAGUUAUAUUUUCAUAGUAAUAUCUAUUUGAUGUCAUAAAUCUUUCUAAUUUUUUCUGUAAUGUUGGUCAAACUUUAGAUCUUUUGACUCUUCAAGAUUUUUGGAAUGAAUUAUAAAUUGGGAUGGAGGGAGUAGUUACUACUGCAGCCAGAGAGAGAACGGCCACAGGCUACCUGCAGCAACGUGGAUUUGUUACAACCGGCGGCAGGUACCCACCUUGAUCGGACGGACAGGAGGAAGUGCGGGCGUGGAGAUUGGGUAGUGGACAUCUGGUGACAUGGCAGCCGCGGCCAAUGAUUGUAGAUUAAUAGUACAGCAUGGAUCUGACAUAGUGACAUGGAUGAAAGAGAGAGGAGAUUGCUUGUGUGGACUGCGGAGUAUGGUUGGCCGGCCGGGAGUUAGGUAUGGAAGUAAAUGCAGGGCAAGAGCUCCUUUCGGCGUACAGAAGGCCGAACUUCCCUCUCUCCUUUCUGGCCUUCGCCCUAUCCUUCCUCCCCUGCCCGCUGCCCGCGCCCCCGUCCUGCCCGGCGCUCAUGCAUCGACGAGCGCGGCCUUCCUGUCCAAGCUCCACGCGCUCGCUGCCGUGCUAUGCUCCCGCGUCGGUCUCGGCGUGACGUCGUGUUCGUGCUCGCGCCCGCGGGCGUCCGUGCUCUACUCCACGCUCAUGUCCGUCGGCGCCGUCGUGGCACCCACCAACCCGUCCCUCACCGCCGCCGAGGUCUCCUGCCUGCUCGCGCUCUCCAACCCCUGAGUCACAUCUGCCGUCGCGGGCACCAGAGGCAAGCUCCCUGCCGGGCUCCGCACCGUGCUGCUCGACUCCCCGAUGUUCAUCUCGUUCCUGCAGGAGCUCGACAAGGACGCGGUGGCGAUGACUCGACAAGGACGCGGUGGCGAUGACUCGACAAGGACGCGGUGGCGAUGGUCCUGGUCCGGCAGUCGGAGUGUCAGACUCGGCGGCGGUGCUGUACUUAUUAUUAUACAUAUUUUCAAUUGGCAAAACGGGUAUGGUCUUAUGGAGUACAGCCGGUUUCUGCCCCGCUGUUGGAGACGAAGAAUGCGCGUGACUUGAAUCCGUGGGCCGUCUUUCAUGGGGCGUUGAAGUGACGAUUGUUCAUCCAGAAACAGAGGCUGCCAGGGGAGCUUUGGGUCUGAGGCUCUUUUGUAAUGAAGGUAGGUCCGUACCACCAUGCAAUUUAGUUUAGUAGUAAAACAAUAUGCUAUAAUCCACUUUGCUCAUAACAUUGCUUUUAAGAAGACCUUGUCCUGAUAGCUAUAGUUUCAACGAAUUCACAUUCACGGGGUAUUGUAUAUUCAGAUUCAGAUAACUUGGGUAUGGCCACCCUAGUAAUGUGCUAAGAGAGUUUUAUAAGUUAACAAGAGUUUCAACAUUUACAGUGUCUAUAUUUGUUUCUUCGGCCACCAGAUAAAAGAUGCCACCAACCUUGCACUUGUUUACAGAAAAUGUAAAUAAACUUAACAAAAAGGAAAAAAAAGGAGAGAGAAUUUUGUUGGCAUUCUUGUGUGGUCCCUUCAUGUGGAUGUUGUAUGUCACUUUGAGCUAUAUACAUAUGAUUCAAUAUCAGUGUUCUAAUUUGAAUUUGUUAGUGCAUUCCUGAUGGCUGUUUUUGCUCGAGCUUCAGUGACACUUUGUCCCUUAUGGGCGCUAGCAUAGGUUACCUAGGCGAGGAGUAUACAUCUGAGAUUUUGGAUAGUGAAGAAUGGUUGAGGACAGGAGAUCUUUGUUACAUUGACCAAGACAGAUUCGUUUACAUUGUGGACCGGCCGAAAGAGUUAAUUAAGUACAAAGGCUACCAGUUGGUAUCCACCAGGAGAUCUAGUGUUAGAUUUUUUUCUAAUCAGCAUUUGCAUGACACAUCACUCCAUCAGAGCAUCUGAUCUAUUACGGACUUACAGUGUCAGUUUGCCUUCUCUCCUGAAUUCUGAUGGAAUCUAUUUCAUUCAGGUGCCUCCUGUAGAACUUGAAAGCCUACAUUCAGGUGCCUCCUGUAGAACUUGAAAGCCUACUUCAGAUACACACAGAUAUUGAUGAAAUCGCAGUUGUCCCGUAGAUACCCUGAUGAUAAGGCUGGAGACUGCCGACAGUGUUCAUCGUCAGACGCCCAGGAAGUCACUUGCACAAAUCACACAUCAAAGAAUUUGUCGCCAAACAGGUCCUUGUGGAUUCGUCGAUAAAGAAAAUGCGGCGGGUUAAGAUUGUCCGGCCAAGCUAGCAUUGCGGCAACAUAUUAGCUCCAAGUUGUAGCAUGUGUAUGUGGUGUAAUUUUUUGUUGGAUAAUAAGUAGGUAGAUCAGUUGCAAUGUGAUGUCAGUGUGUCACGCCCUCACCAUGACUGUAUAAAAGUACUAGCAGAUAUCACAUUUGUAAUCAGUUUAAGACAUUGAGAGUAAUUUAGUAAAUGUGAAUUUUAAAUUAUAUGCAGUGUGUAAAUACCUGUAGAUUGAGAUUGUGAUGAAUUUGUAGUUGUACCCUGGAAUA